GCUUUUACUGGUGACUGCCGAGGAUAGGAUGGACAUGGAAGGGUUGAGUACAACUAAAUACAAAGUGAAACAAAUACUUCACCAGCCUCUGUACAUCUGGAUCAGUGUGGAAGUGAACAUGACAGAAGUGAUGCGGACAGCCCCAGACUUCACAUUGGCCGUACUACAACCCAGAUCUAUAAAUAGAACAGCAGUGUGAGAAAGGCAUACAGAAUACUUUAGUUCUUAAACCACAGAAAUAUUCUCGUAAACUUUCUUUGGUCAACAAAAAA
rnacentral:sRNA from 1 species